UACGUAGGGUGCGAGCGUUAAUCGGAAUUACUGGGCGUAAAGCGUGCGCAGGCGGCGCGUUAAGACAGGUGUGAAAGCCCCGAGCUUAACUUGGGAAUUGCGCUUGUGACUGGCGUGCUGGAGUGUGGCAGAGGGAGGUGGAAUUCCCAGUGUAGAGGUGAAAUUCGUAGAUAUUGGGAAGAACACCGGUGGCGAAGGCGGCCAUCUGGACCGCAACUGACGCUGAGGCGCGAAAGCGUGGGGAGCAAACAGG
rnacentral:rRNA from 1 species